rnacentral:rRNA from 1 species
UGCAAACGUUGUUCGGAAUUACUGGGCGUAAAGCGCGUGUAGGCGGCCCUGCAAGUCGGAUGUGAAAUCCCACGGCUCAACCGUGGAAGUGCAUUCGAAACUGCAGGGCUAGAGUCCUGGAGAGGAAGGUGGAAUGCUUGGUGUAGAGGUGAAAUUCGUAGAUAUCAAGCGGAACACCGGUGGCGAAGGCGGCCUUCUGGACAGUGACUGACGCUGAGACGCGAAAGCGUGGGGAGCAAACAGG